GACGAACGCUGGCGGCGUGCUUAACACAUGCAAGUCGAACGGAAAGGCCCUGCUUUUGUGGGUUGCUCGAGUGGCGAACGGGUGAGUAACACGUGAGUAACCUGCCCUUGACUUUGUGAUAACUUCAGGAAACUGGGGCUAAUACCGGAUAUGAGCUCCUGCUGCAUGGUGGGGGUUGGAAAGUUUCGGCGGUUGGGGAUGGACUCGCGGCUUAUCAGCUUGUUGGUGGGGUAGUGGCUUACCAAGGCUUUGACGGGUAGCCGGCCUGAGAGGGUGACCGGCCACAUUGGGACUGAGAUACGGCCCAGACUCCUACGGGAGGCGGCAGGGGGGAAUAUUGCACAAUGAGCGGAAGCCUGAUGCAGAAACACCGCGUGAGGGAUGACGGCCUUAGGGUUGUAAACAGCUUUCGCCUGUGACGAAGAGUGAGUGAAGGUAAUGGGUAAAGAAGCACCGGCUAACUACGUG
rnacentral:rRNA from 1 species